CGUGCCUAACACAUGCAAGUCGAACGAGGCCCUUUGUAUUCGUACGAAGGUGUCCUAGUGGCGAACGGGUGAGUAACACGUAGGUGACCUGCCCCGAAGAGAGGGAUAACCCCGGGAAACUGGGGCUAAUACCUCAUGAUCUCCUUGGAGUUAGAGGUCCUUGGAGGAAAGGGAGCAAUCCGCUUCGGGAGGGGCCUGCGGCCCAUCAGCUAGUUGGUAGGGUAAUGGCCUACCAAGGCGACGACGGGUAGGGGGCCUGAGAGGGUGGUCCCCCACAAUGGCACUGAAACACGGGCCAUACAUCUACGGAUGGCAGCAGUGGGGAAUAUUGCCCAAUGGACGAAAGUCUGAGGCAGCAACGCCGCGUGCGCGAUGAAGGCCUUCGGGUUGUAAAGCGCUUUUCUGGGGGAAGAGGAAGGACGGUACCCCAGGAAUAAGUCUCGGCUAACUACGUG
rnacentral:rRNA from 1 species